rnacentral:lncRNA from 1 species
AAAGAGACUUCAGCAAUGAGGAAGUCCAGCUCCCAGUUGUUUGAAAUUGGAAACUGAGCUCCAGAGAGAUUAAGAUAAAGUGUCCAUUUUUACACAGGAAGUUAUCAAAAGAGCCACGGUCAAAUCUGGGUCUUCUGAUACUUAAAGCUGUGCUCUUCCUAAUACUAAAUGCUGCCUCCUUUGAGGCAUUUAAAUCUCUGUAAUCUAGAUCCAUUUCUAUGCCAACAUCGGUAAAUCACAAAUGAUUAGAAAAAAGGUGGCAGACUCAAACACCAACUCAUGCUUUUUAAUUUGAGUGGUUUUCUAGGUUCAUCUGAAAUAAAACAAAACAAUAUUUUUUAAAACUCCUUCCUGUUUACAAAAUUGAGAAUUCCUUCUUGACACUGGUGUUCAUGUUCUAUGUACUUUCCAAAUACGGAGAUCCUAAAAUACGGGCUGGCUGAACUUUUAAAUAUAAAGAAAGUCUUGCAGUUGAGAAUACUCUCCAACCAAAUGAGUUCAGUCUGCUUUCUGCUUCUGAGAUCUGGGUCUAAGGGGAUUAUUUUCAAAGAUGAGCAGGAGACUAAAGAGAAAGACAGGCUUCCUGUUACCUACCUUGAGUUUGAGAGUCUUGAAAACCUUGUGUGUAGCAUUGCAAAGCUGCCCUGGAACAUGAAAAAUACAGCCUCUUCUCACCAGUGCUGAAGGAGGCUUCUUCCGACUCCAGCUUGAAUGUUUCUCAAGACGGUCAGUUAAGUGAAACCAUCUUUUCCAAAAGCUUGAGUAAACCUGAGAACCUCCCCACCAAUGAAUUAGGUAGGAGGAAAGCGGGCCCCAGUGGCGAGUAUCAUGAAAAGAUUCAGUUCUCAGACUUGGCUGCUUAUUGGAAUUAUUUGAAGAGCUUUAAAAGUACUAGCUGCCCAUAAAGGUUGCAGAUAUUCAGUGCUAUUAUAGGAAUUUUCAUGAAUACGUUUGAAAAUCCUGAUCUAUGGAUUGAAUUCCUGUUUUGAUUAAUUGAUUUGUAAACCUCUGUCCCUUUUGUGACUCUGUUCUGCCUUUUGGGAUUGGAGUUUCAUUGUUUACCCAGAUGCACAGAUACUUCCUGGUGAGUUAGAAUGCAUUUCCUCUACUAUAACAUUUCUCAACCCUGCACAUUGAGAAUCAUUUGGGGAGAUUAAGAUGAAAAAAAAAAAAAAAAAACUGGUGGGAAUUGGUCAGGGGUUGAACCAGGGCUUAAGCAUUUUUGUAAACCUCCCCAUAGUAGCCAGCCUCCAAGAUGGCCCCCACUGGACCCACCUGUUUGUACUUGCAUCUUCAUUUAGCACUCCCACUCCCACAUGGUGCCAAGGCUGUUCUACAUGACCAAUAAAAUAGUGCAGACGUGAUGAUAUGAUUAGGUUAUAAAAGACACUGCAGUUUCCAUCUUAAUGUUCUACCUCCCUCUCAGAUCAUUUGCUUUGGAAAAGCCAACUGCCAAGUCAUAAGCAGCCCUGUGGCGAACCCUACAUGGUGUGGAACUGAGACCUUGUGCCAACAGCCAGAUCUACUGCUCUCUACCCUUCUCCAUCCUGCCCCAUGCCUUAGACGGCUGAUGACAUCAUGGACUCUCAUGCCCUCUGACUUUCAGCUGGCUGUAUGCAAAGGGAGACACUGGCAGGAGAUCAGAAGUUUCUGUGGGUCAGAAGUCUGGGCACAGCUUCCCUGGGUGUUUCUGACUCAAGGUCUCUCACGAAAGGCAGUCAAGCUGAUGACCUGAGCUGCAACCUCAUCUGGAUGCCCGUCUGGGGAGACACCAUCUGUUUUGAAGCUCACUCACAUGGUUGUCGGCAGGCCUUGGUCACUCACCAUGUGGGCCACUCCACAGGGCUGCCUCACAACACGGCAGCUGCCUUCCCCCACGACAAGUGACCCAAGAGACUGUGAGAGAGGACACAUUCAAGGUGAAAGGCAGUCAUUUUAUAACCUAAUCUCAGAUGUGUCAUUUCAUCACUUCUGCCAUAUUCUAUUCAUCAAAAGUGAGACAAGAAGUCCAGCCACACUCAAGGAGAGGGGAUUACCCAAGAGCGGGAACCACAGAAGGUGAGGAUCAUUGGGGCCCAUCUCCAAGGCUGCCUGAUGCAUAUGUCCCCGGGCUUUCAUAUAAACUCUACCUUUUAGUCAGUAUCUAACGUAUGUCAAGCUCUGCACCUGCAUUGUAUACGCGACCUCUAAUCCUUACAAUGACCUACAUAGCAGAAUUACUAUCUCUAAUUUGUAGAAAAGGAAAAUGAGGAUAUGAGAGUUUAAGUAAUUUUCCAAUGAUCAUAUAAUUUAUAAAUAAAAGAGACAAAAUUUGAAAUAACCUCUUCUGAUCCCUAGUCCAGUGGCUCUUUCAACCAUGUCUCCACUACUUUAGGUGACUAUGUUACUGACUGCAUUAUCU